UACGUAGGUGGCAAGCGUUGUCCGGAUUUACUGGGUGUAAAGGGGGCGCAGGCGGGAAGCUUAGUUGGAUGUGAAAUACCGGGGCUCAACUCCGGAGCUGCAUCCAAAACUGGUUUUCUUGAGUGGAGUAGAGGCAAGCGGAAUUCCGAGUGUAGCGGUGAAAUGCGUAGAUAUUCGGAGGAACACCAGUGGCGAAGGCGACUCUUUGGUCUAUUACUGACGCUGAGGUACAAAAGCAAGGGUAGCAAACAGGAUUAGAUACCCGUGUAGUCCCUGAG
rnacentral:rRNA from 1 species